rnacentral:rRNA from 1 species
ACUCCUACGGGAGGCAGCAGUGGGGAAUUUUGCACAAUGGGCGGAAGCCUGAUGCAGCGACGCCGCGUGGAGGAUGAAGGCCUUCGGGUUGUAAACUCCUUUUGUAGGGGACAAUGAUGAUGGUACCCUGCGAAUAAGCCACGGCUAACUCUGUGCCAGCAGCCGCGGUAAGACAGAGGUGGCGAGCGUUGUUCGGAAUCACUGGGCUUAAAGGGCGCGUAGGUGGUAGUGCAAGUCUGGGGUGGAAUCCUAUGGCUUAACCAUAGAAUUGCCUUGGAAACUGUAUUACUUGAGUCAGUGAGGGGAGGGUAGAAUUCCUGGUGUAGCGGUGAAAUGCGUAGAUAUCAGGAGGAAGGCCUGUGGCGAAGGCGGCCCUCUGGCGCUGAACUGACACUGAGGCGCGAAAGCGUGGGGAGCAAACAGGAUUAGAUACCCUGGUAGUCCACGCCCUAAACGGUGGGCACUAGGUGUAGGGCUCGUAAGGGUUCUGUGCCGAAGCGAAAGCAUUAAGUGCCCCGCCU